CCUACGGGGGACAGCAGUAGGGAAUCUUCCACAAUGGGCGAAAGCCUGAUGGAGCAACGCCGCGUGGGUGAAGAAGGUCUUCGGAUCGUAAAACCCUGUUGUUAGAGAAGAAAGUGCGUGAGAGUAACUGUUCACGUUUCGACGGUAUCUAACCAGAAAGCCACGGCUACCUACGUGCCAGCAGCCGCGGUAAUUCGGAGGUGGCAAGCGUUAUCCGGAUUUAUUUGGCGUAAAGGGAACGCAGGCGGUCUUUUAAGUCUGAUGUGAAAGCCUUCGGCUUAACCGGAGUAGUGCAUUGGAAACUGGGGGACUUGAGUGCAGAAGAGGAGAGUGGAACUCGAUGUGUAGCGGUGAAAUGCGUAGAUAUAUGGAAGAAAACCAGUGGCGAAGGCAGCUCUCUGGUCUGUAACUGACGCUGAGGUUCGAAAGCGUGGGUAGCAAACAGGAUUAGAUACCCCUGUAGUC
rnacentral:rRNA from 1 species